rnacentral:rRNA from 1 species
UACGUAGGCAGCAAGCGUUGUUCGGAGUUACUGGGCGUAAAGGGUGCGUAGGCGGUUCCGCAAGUCCUGUGUGAAAUCUUCGGGCUCAACUCGAAGUCUGCACGGGAAACUGCGGGGCUCGAGUGUGGGAGAGGAAAGUGGAAUUCCUGGUGUAGCGGUGAAAUGCGUAGAUAUCAGGAGGAACACCGGUGGUGUAAACGGCUUUCUGGACCAUAACUGACGCUGAGGCACGAAAGCGUGGGUAGCAAACAGG